rnacentral:tRNA from 1 species
GCCUGGGUGGCUCAGUUGGUUAAGCGUCUGACUUUGGCUCAGGUCAUGAUCUCACAGUUUGUGGGUUUAAACCCUGCGUCGGGCU